CUCUAGCGACCUUUAGUGUGUGCGACAGUGGCAGUACGGGCGAAUCGGUCUCGUCCGGCGACGACGCUAACUUUUCGGCUAAGCGUCCGCCUUCUCUGAAACACACAAUUUCCCUCUCACCGUUGGUAUAAUCUCAAAGUACCCGAAGUCAACACGUAGUCGUGCAAUUCGAGCUGGGUGUUGCUCUUGUCACCCGUGGCGAGACCGGCGACAGCUUCAAACCAAAAGGUCGCCUGUGAAUGUGUUAGGCGUCUGCGUACCGCUGAUGCCUGCACUGUGAGCCUGUUUGAACAUUCUUCUGUGCAGCCGGUACGAUAGGAAACUGCCGGUGCUGAGCGGGCCAGUUAUGCUGUCAGCGCAGCCCCUGGUAGCAGGAUCGCCUAGGAGUUCGAUGGUGUCCGUUGCGUUCAGCGUUGCGCGCGCGUGCUGCCACCAAUUUGUCGUCGGCAAUGUCAAGGGACCAACAGUGUUAUUAGUCAUUAAAGUACCAGGAGAAGUUGUGUUGUCCAUGUGCGUAUCCACGCUCUCGUCAGGUGACAGAGGUAAGCGGCAGAAUCACGAACAUUUUCUCUCGAAGAAAUUAGAGUUUAUCCGCUCGGAUGCACGCAACUUCUACACGGGCGUCAAAGAAAACUGCCAUGACCGCCAUGCAAGUACACAUCGGAAACACAAAACACAGUUUCUCUUUUGUGAAUAUGCUGCUGUGACGUCGGGAGGUAUUUUUUGUUUUUUGACGCGUUUUGUAUAGUGGACCAGAGCUGUAAACGAUAUACUGAUUAAGGAAGCGCCAGGUUGUCCACUUUAUUACGGCCGUGUUUGGCGCUACCUAACAUGCAGUUUUUUGCCUCACUUCCAGCGGUAUGAAGCCCCCAGCGGAGUCUGCACUGACCUUUCGUUCGGUAGACGUCGGCGGAGUCCUGCAAGGUGUUAGGCAUAGAACACGGAACGUGGAAGCGGACGGCUUUCCCGAAUUGUGAGUGGUUUUGCAUAGGACAGUAAAUUUCUUCACAAGCUCUGCCCCGCUGUAUGCUAGCACGGAGUCCCUCCUUCAUUCUCGUAUUCUACCCCUGCCGCCGCAAUUGCUUCUCCCAGGCGGUAGGAGAUAACGCUAUAUCGCCUAUGGUGAACUGCGUUCAUCGAAACACUGAAGGAAUUGCAGUUGCCACGUGUCAUGAAGACUGGGAGGAGAAGGCUAGCCUGUAGAAGAAGGGACUGCUGUCAAUUCACCCACGCAGCAGUAGGGGGAAGUUUUAUAUCUACUGGUUAGCAACGCUGUUUGAAGGCUCAAGAGCAUCCAGCGGCAGGGCUCCCGAUCCACAAAGACCCUGGGGAAAUCACCAGCUCGCCCACGAGCAGUUAUGGGCCUCAGUCGAUGGUAUCCGCUUCUUUAUACCCAGGAAGUACGGCUUUGAUUUGCGCAACGACAUCAUGUUCCUCCAGAAACGCUACUUGCUUCUACACUUGCUGUCCAGAGAUGAGUCAUCUUCGUGGAUGCGUGCUCGCAUGCAGAAUUCGCUCUAGGAAUGCUUGGCGUCUUACCACAAGAGGGGGGGCGUAUCCCUGAGUUGUUCGUACGGGAAUCGAGUUUCUCCCGUGGAACGAGUUCAUUUAUGGGUGGUUGUGUCUUGUUGCUCCGUUUGUAGUUGGUAAGGUCAAGUCCUCUUACCUAUGCUGCGUCGCAUUUAUCUUUGAAGCUCGAUGCAUGGAGUGUGCUUUGGCUAGAGAAAGAAAUGUCUUACCAAUUUCUUCACGGGUAUGGUUGUCUCCCCUGCCAUUGCUUUGUUUCUUCAGGAAGUGAGCAUCGAAAUUGUCUGCCUACAGCUGCCGUACUCUCUGACGUCGCUGUGGCAGCAGGUGAAUUGUCAUGCAACCACCUGUGUGUAAAACAAAAUCCAGGAAGUACGCUUUGGCCUGUAUACCUGUGACGCCGCGGAAGCCCCACAGGGGCCUCACGAAUAAUCAGCAAAAAUAUGAUUUCUGGUAUUCACAGAACUGGGCUUCUGGCACGUUGGAUUCUUAUCUGUCUUUAAUCUCUACUGGGGGCCGCUGCUCCAAGCCCAGCGGUCCUUUCGAAGGAAUUACUAUGCGUCGCAACGUCCAAACGGUAGUAUGUAAGCCAGAAUAAGUCUAGGAAUUUGUCUUGUGGGUUUUCAUCCAUCGUUCUUCGCACAGGUCGUAAGUGCACAUUUUAGCACGCGUUGAUGAGCUACCCUACUGCUCGUUUCGUUCACAUUGUACCAGUCAAAAAGAAUAUACUGUGAUUUUGAUGUGUGUGGGUCUCUGAGAGAGUCCCUAAACCGCAAACAUUCUCUCCGAUCCAAUUUUGUCGCAGAUCGUGAGUCUCAACGACGUGGUCUGGGAACCUCGUUGAUUUUCAGGUGCUUUUCGCAACCCUCAUGUAAUUCCCUUCUUCGGUAGGCAGAAAACGUCCUGCAAUCUGGUGUGGCGCGUUGCUGCAGACUGUAAGGUUGAAUGGUGGAACUCCCAGCACCCAGCAUAGUGUCUGGUUCCAUCGAAGGCAGGUUGGAGUUGUUGCAGAUGUGCGAUUCUGUUUCAGGUUCGUGCUUUCAAAAUGCUCGGGCGAUCACUUAACGCCCACUGCGUAAAGCGUGUGUGUCUCUGUGCAAAUGCUCCUCCAGCUAGUAAGCAAUGAAACGCGCCAGGGCUUCACACAGAAAAACACGAUGUCGUCUCCGAUGCUUGUUUCACUUUGCGCAUGCGGCGAACGCCACAGUGCCUUGAGCAAGGGGAAGUGUUGGUACAUUCAAAAGAAGUGGUACCUGUUCUCAUUUACACGAAUGGGUGAUUCUGCAUGCAACUGCAUUGCAGUUGGUAGGUUUUGUUCUGUCUUAGGAUUGCUGCUUGUGAUACGGGAGGUAAGGGUGGCAGCGACCCGGGG
rnacentral:lncRNA from 1 species